rnacentral:rRNA from 1 species
UACGUAGGGUCCAAGCGUUAUCCGGAAUCACUGGGCGUAAAGCGUGCGUAGGCGGCCAUGUAAGUAGGGUGUGAAAUCCCACAGCUCAACUGUGGAACUGCGCUCUAAACUACAUGGCUAGAGGGAUAUAGAGGUGAGCGGAACUGAUGGUGGAGCGGUGAAAUGCGUUGAUAUCAUCAGGAACACCGGAGGCGAAGGCGGCUCACUGGGUAUCUUCUGACGCUGAGGUACGAAAGCUAGGGGAGCGAACGGG